AUCCAGAUAACUGGCUAGGCGAGAUGGAGCCGCGGUACUAUUCUAUUUCCCCCUUUUUAAAUCUCCGUGGGACUCCCCACCAGUAAUGAUCUGUUAUAUAGGGUGUUCUCGAAAGGAUCCAGUUUUAAAGAAAAACAAGUUUGAAAAUUCGUAAAUAUUCUCUCUCAUACUCUUUGUACAUACUCUCUGGCGGUAAUAGCCAUAUUGUACAAAGCAAAUUUUCAAACACGAUUAUCUCGAAAAUAUAUCGGUAAAUUCAGAGUAAUGGAUUCUCA